UAAGGCUCUUACCAGAAAUGUUUGAGAACCCCUUGUGCACAAAUUCACAUCGUCUAAGUAUGUCAUACAUGGUGUGUCGUUUUAGACGCUGCAGACGCUGAUAAUUUGAGCCUCUGUCUUGACACAAACCGCAGCACAAAACCACAGACAGAAAAAGAUCAGGAUGAACCACCUCAAUCUUUUCACACCUCCUUUACCACCGAUGACACUUCAGAAGCUCCACAAGAAGAAUCUGCAGUGUCUAGCUUCACAGCGUCAGCAUCUCCCUCAGAGGCUACAGACCCACCUUUCACAGAUCCAGAUCCCCAGUAUGCUUCCAUCCCUGAGAUCACAGAGGAGGAAACGCCUUACUGAGGGAGAUGUUGUUGUUGCAGUAACUGACAGACUUUUCAAUAAACUGUGCUUGAAAUAACUUUUGAAAUCACUUAAUAUCACCUUAUUUGUAUCUGUCUUGUUGUCUCAGUCAUUAUUUGUGAAACAGAAACGUAGUGACAAUGUUGUUUAGCAAUAAAUCAAAUGAAUAAAUAAAGUAUUUGCUCAGCUGUGUGAUAAUAUAUUGUUGCUCUUCAUUACAACAUGUCUAAUCUGGCCUUUGGUGAGUAGGUUGAUAGCAGAAUGUGAAACAAGCAUCAACAAUAAAUGGCUAUAUAAAGCAUUUCAAAAUAGACUGAGG
rnacentral:lncRNA from 15 species